rnacentral:rRNA from 1 species
UCCGUAGGUGAACCUGCGGAGGGAUCAUUACCGAGUUUACAACUCCCAAACCCAAUGUGAACGUUACCAAACUGUUGCCUCGGCGGGAUCUCUGCCCCGGGUGCGUCGCAGCCCCGGACCAAGGCGCCCGCCGGAGGACCAACCUAAAACUCUUAUUGUAUACCCCCUCGCGGGUUUUUUUAUAAUCUGAGCCUUCUCGGCGCCUCUCGUAGGCGUUUCGAAAAUGAAUCAAAACUUUCAACAACGGAUCUCUUGGUUCUGGCAUCGAUGAAGAACGCAGCGAAAUGCGAUAAGUAAUGUGAAUUGCAGAAUUCAGUGAAUCAUCGAAUCUUUGAACGCACAUUGCGCCCGCCAGUAUUCUGGCGGGCAUGCCUGUCCGAGCGUCAUUUCAACCCUCGAACCCCUCCGGGGGGUCGGCGUUGGGGAUCGGCCCUCCCUUAGCGGGUGGCCGUCUCCGAAAUACAGUGGCGGUCUCGCCGCAGCCUCUCCUGCGCAGUAGUUUGCACACUCGCAUCGGGAGCGCGGCGCGUCCACAGCCGUUAAACACCCAACUUCUGAAAUGUUGACCUCGGAUCAGGUAGGAAUACCCGCUGAACUUAAGCAUAUCAAUAAGCGGAGGA